rnacentral:rRNA from 1 species
UACGAAGGGUGCAAGCGUUACUCGGAAUUACUGGGCGUAAAGCGUGCGUAGGUGGUUUGUUAAGUCUGUUGUGAAAGCCCCGGGCUCAACCUGGGAAUGGCAAUGGAUACUGGCAAGCUAGAGUGCGGUAGGAGGGUAGUGGAAUUCCCGGUGCAGCGGUGAAAUGCGUAGAGAUCGGGAGGAACACCAGUGGCGAAGGCGGCUACCUGGACCAGCACUGUCACUGAGGCACGAAAGCGUGGGGAGCAAACAGG